CCCUCCUGUGUGUACAGAAACAGUGUCUCCAGGGAUUUGGCAUUCCCGGGAAGAAAAGAAGGCACAUUGGCCGAGGUGCAGACAGACAUCUGAAUCUUAUUCCCCAGUUCUUACGAGCCGCUUAGAGGUCGUGUUUCCCCCGCUCCGUUUUCUACUAAAGAGAUGACGUCGCGCCCUACUUGCUUACCAGGAGAGGGAAGGCAGAAUUUGUUUCAUUAAAGACUCCGUCAUCGCCACCACUGUCAAAGGCAAAUCCCUCCCAAGGCCGGCAUCUGAAUCCGGCUGCUGGAGCAAGGAUUCUGAGGUUUCGACGUCAAAGCCUACAGCGCCAGAGAAAACCCAGGCGCUCGGAUCCCCCAGGCAGCCAUGAGGAUUCCUCCAAGAAGAACUGCUCUCAAAGGUCCUGCUGCCCACGGCCACCUCUUGCUACGACGGCCCUCAGUACCAGCCCUCCGAGGGAAACCCACAACCUGUAAAGAAGAUCCAUAGCUUCAUUACAACAGAAUCAAUGAGGGCUCACUGACCUUUCAGCCUCUGAGUCUAGUGGACAUAAGGGCCAUUUACUCUGCCCUAGCCACCACCUUGUCAGUGACGCUUAACGCAACGAUGACACCACGUGACCCCAUUGGGGUUGUUGUCUCGGGAGGCUUCGUGCAUCGACUGGCAAAGCCAUCCUAAGGUCAGCACCGUAACUAGGAGCAGAGGGAGCCGAGUUUGAGCUAAACUUUGCUGUCAGCUCCCACUCAUUCUCGCAGAGUUGCAAUACUUAACCUCCAAUUACUGGAUCUCCGACGCCACCCUUCCGCCUCCCUCGAGUGGCUCUUGCAGGGCCACUCACCCACAUAAAAACAGAGACGUUUUUCUUUUUUCCCCCAAGGAGGGAACUAUGGAAAUGAGGUGGGCAGCUGUGUGAAAGUGAACGGGACAGGCGACAGGAGGCCUGCACAGUGGGGUUUUCUGCCCACUGCAAGUGCUGGGCAUGGCCUUGUAAACCAGUCCCUUAGAUUUUGUUUUUCCUAGUGACUGUCAGUGGACCGGUCAAUGCUUCAGAUCUUAAUUUCCUUAAUUGUCAGAUAAUGAAUAAAUCUAUACCGACCCAUCA
rnacentral:lncRNA from 1 species